rnacentral:tRNA from 1 species
GCCCUCGUAGCUCAAUGGUAGAGCGCGUCACUAGUACUCUUAACUAUAAGGUCCCAUGACGAGGUUGCCGGUUCGAUUCCGUCCGAGGGCA